GAGAAAAGUACUGAGACAUUAGGACCACAGACAGAUACAGACAAAUGGAGGGAAAAAACCUGUGGAGGCGUCACGGUGUGGAUAAAUAUAUAUUAACAUGCUACAGCCUUAACAAUCACCCAAUUAACGCCUUUGGAAUAUUUUGGACCUGUGGGCACUCUCCAACACAAUCAACAUCAAAUGAGGGAAUAUUUAAUAAAAGGCUUAUGUUUCGAGGACUGAAGCAGUUCUAAUGCAAUUUCUCUGCCAAUUUUUCUUUUUAAUGUCUUUUGUACUUGACAAAUUCUUUGGGAGAUAUUUCCAGUAGGAACACCUAGAUUUCAAAACUCCAUUUUGCCACAAAUUAGGCAUAUUACUUUCUUGGCUCUAAUAUUUUGUAUAAUGACAACUCAGGGUCUGCUCGUGACUUUCUUUCCGAUGUCCUGAAAACUAUGCUGGAAUGUUUGAGGUUUAAUAGUGUAGGAACAGAGGAGGAAAUGGGACGAUGGUUGCAGAUACUUUGUUCAUUUUUAUAUUUAGAAUAUAGAAAACCACAUGCAAUUACAGUGGCAACAGCCACAAUCAUGCUGCUGAAGCUGUGCCACAUUCAUUUCAUGAACAUAUUUCCUAUAUUUCCUCUACUUUAUGCUCAUUCUUCCUGAAGUGGUGAGCAAUUUGUGUGUGAGAGCGAGAGAAGGUUGAACAGAAUAUGGUUUUGUGAUAGGUUGUAACAGCAUGAUUGUCUCCUGGCUUUUUUUUGUUUUGUUUUGUUGUUUUUUUUUUUUAUACCAUGUGAUCUUCCUCCAGCUGCUCCAUAGCCAUUGCUUGACAGAAGAGCAGUCUCUUUGUUUGUGUACUGGCUGUGGUCGGCAUUUUAUUGCCCACUGUGACUGCCAGUGUUUACUGCUGUAUUUGAUUCUCACUGCAGCAGUCUUUUUGUUUUCUUUUUCUUUCUUUUUUUGCUGUUUUGUGUGCAUGUGCGGGGGCAAAAGAGAGAGAACAGGAGAAGAAAGAGGGACGGUAACAGGAGAAAAUGUAGUUUGUGGAAUUUACAAAUAGAAUAUGCACUAUAAAUGAGGGGUGAUAAACCAGACAUAUCUUUUCCCCACAGAUGGGUCUAAAAUCUGCCACGGCGAGGCUUGCACAUAAGCCCAUUGCUUGCCUGACUCUGCAGCAAACUGAGCUGCCCAAAGGGCUCAGUGGAGCCCAGUGAGGAGUUGAAAGGGGGUCAGACCUUGCUUGGGAAAGCACCGCUCCCCUCUGUGACUGUCUACCCCCUACUGACCAGAACUACAUGAAGCAUGUAAACAUAAUCUGCAUUUCACAUAGAUCCUUCUAGGAAACAGACAGACAUCCAAGUGAGAUCGCAUUGCUGCAUGAGUUACAGUGCCUUUAGCUAUUUACCCAAGCUCCCAACAUCAACAAACAACCUGCUUUUAGAUAAGAGACUUUGGGGGAUUUUUAGAGAAACAGGAGCUGUGCUAACCCCUUUUCCUUUUUCCACAAAGAUAGAGCGCCAAACAUUCACUGCAGUCAACAUUACAUCUUGAAAAUAGUGGCACAAACACCAUUAACACCAAAC
ensembl:lncRNA